GAUGAACGCUAGCGGCAGGCUUAAUACAUGCAAGUCGAGGGGCAGCAUGACUGUAGCAAUACAGUUGAUGGCGACCGGCAAACGGGUGCGGAACACGUACAGAACCUUCCUUCGAGCGGGGAAUAGCCCAGAGAAAUUUGGAUUAAUACCCCAUAGUACAUUAGAGUGGCAUCACUUUGAUGUUAAAGAUUUAUCACUUGAAGAUGGCUGUGCGGCUGAUUAGGUAGUUGGCGGGGUAACGGCCCACCAAGCCUGCGAUCAGUAACUGGUGUGAGAGCACGACCAGUCACACGGGCACUGAGACACGGGCCCGACUCCUACGGGAGGCAGCAGUAAGGAAUAUUGGUCAAUGGACGAAAGUCUGAACCAGCCAUGCCGCGUGGAGGAUGAAGGUCCUCUGGAUUGUAAACUUCUUUUAUAUGGGACGAAAAAAGGGUUUUCUAACUCGUCUGACGGUACCAUAUGAAUAAGCACCGGCUAACUCCGUG
rnacentral:rRNA from 1 species